GAUGAAGAACGCAGCGAAAUGCGAUAAGUAGUGUGAAUUGCAGAAUUACGUGAAUCAUCGAAUCUUUGAACGCAAAUUGCACUCUCUGGUAUUCCGGGGAGUAUGCCUGUUUGAGGGUCGCUUAAUAAACAUCGAUUUCAUCGCUUUUUUUUUAAAAGGGUGAUGUUUAUCGGAUUUGAGCCGUCUUUUUUUUUUAUGUAUUUUAUAUAUAUUUAAGAAAGUGGCUUAAAAUUGAUUUUUCUGGUAUGAUCGGAAGCGUAUUUUAUGAUCAAUUUUUGGUUAAAGAAACGCACGCGUACCUUCAUAUUCAUAUGAUGUAAUACGUUUGACUAUCGGAUUUAGUUCAUUCGUAUACGAUAUUUUUCAAAUUUUGACCUCAAAUCAGGUAAGAACACCCGCUGAACUUAAGCAUAUCAAUAAGCGGAGGA
rnacentral:misc_RNA from 1 species